rnacentral:rRNA from 1 species
GUAGUGCCAAGAAAAGCGAUGAUCAUGUUGAAAAUCAAUUCCCGGUACCCGAAACCGACACAGGUGGGCAAGUAGAGAAUACUAAGGGGCGCGAGGUAACUCUCUCCAAGGAACUCGGCAAAAUGACCCCGUAACUUAGGGAGAAGGGGUGCCACCGAGAGGUGGUCGCAGUGAAGAGGCCCAGGCGACUGUUUAGCAAAAACAUAGGUCUCUGCAAACUCGAAAGAGGAGGUAUAGGGGCUGACGCCUGCCCAGUGCCGGAAGGUUAAAGAAGUUGGUCAGUUUUAGGAUGAAGCUAGCGACUGAAGCCCCGGUGAACGGCGGCCGUAACUAUAACGGUCCUAAGGUAGCGAAAUUCCUUGUCGGGUAAGUUCCGGCCCGCACGAAAGGCGUAACGAUCUGGGCGCUGUCUCGGAGAGAGGCUCGGCGAAAUAGGAUUGUCUGUGAAGAUACGGACUACCUGCAUUUGGACAGAAAGACCCUAUGAAGCUUUACUAUAGCUUGGAUUUGUGUUCGGGCUUCCUGUGCGCAGGAUAGGUGGGAGGCGUAGAAGGUAUUCUUGUGGGGAUACCGGAGCCAACGGUGAGAUACCACUCUCAGGAGGCUAGAAUUCUAACUUAAUUAAGGACAGUUUCAGGUGGGUAGUUUGACUGGGGCGGUCGCCUCCAAAAAGGUAACGGAGGCGUACAAAGGUUCCCUCAGACUGGUUGGAAAUCAGUCGAAGAGUGCAAAGGCAGAAGGGAGCUUGACUGCGAGAAGUACAGUUCGAGCAGGGUGGAAACACGGUCUUAGUGAUCCGACGGUGCUGUGUGGAAGGGCCGUCGCUCAACGGAUAAAAGUUACUCUAGGAUAACAGGCUGAUCUCCCCCAAGAGUUCACAUCGACGGGGAGGUUUGGCACCUCGAUGUCGGCUCAUCGCAACCUGGGGCGGAAGUACGUCCCAAGGGUUGGGCUGUUCGCCCAUUAAAGCGGUACGUGAGCUGGGUUCAGAACGUCGUGAGACAGUUCGGUCCAUAUCCGAUGUAGGCGUGAGAAUAUUGAGAGGAGCCUUCCUUAGUACGAGAGGACCGGGAAGGACGCACCGCUGGUGUACCUGUUAUGAUGCCAAUUGUAAACGCAGGGUAGCCAAGUGCGGAGAGGAUAACCGCUGAAAGCAUCUAAGUGGGAAGCCCACCUCAAGAUGAGUAUUCUGGUGUAAGGUCACGGGAAGACGACCCGUAAAUAGGCACGAGGUGGAAGUGCGGAGAUGUAUGAAGCCGAAGUGUACUAAUAGACCGUCGGCUUGACC